rnacentral:rRNA from 1 species
AAUAUUGCACAAUGGGCGAAAGCCUGAUGCAGCGACGCCGCGUGAGGGAUGACGGCCUUCGGGUUGUAAACCUCUUUCAGCAGGGAAGAAGCGAAAGUGACGGUACCUGCAGAAGAAGCACCGGCUAACUACGUGCCAGCAGCCGCGGUAAUACGUAGGGUGCGAGCGUUGUCCGGAAUUAUUGGGCGUAAAGAGCUUGUAGGCGGUUUGUCGCGUCUGCCGUGAAAUUUCGAGGCUCAACCUCGAACUUGCGGUGGGUACGGGCAGACUAGAGUGUGGUAGGGGAGACUGGAAUUCCUGGUGUAGCGGUGAAAUGCGCAGAUAUCAGGAGGAACACCGAUGGCGAAGGCAGGUCUCUGGGCCACUACUGACGCUGAGAAGCGAAAGCAUGGGGAGCGAACAGGAUUAGAUACCCUGGUAGUCCAUGCCGUAAACGUUGGGAACUAGGUGUGGGUCUCAUUCCACGAGAUCCGUGCCGCAGCUAACGCAUUAAGUUCCCCGCCUGGGGAGUACGGCCGCAAGGCUAAAACUCAAAGGAAUUGACGGGGGCCCGCACAAGCGGCGGAGCAUGCGGAUUAAUUCGAUGCAACGCGAAGAACCUUACCAAGGCUUGACAUAUGCGAGAACGCGGCAGAGAUGUCGUUCUCUUUGGACACUCGUAUACAGGUGGUGCAUGGUUGUCGUCAGCUCGUGUCGUGAGAUGUUGGGUUAAGUCCCGCAACGAGCGCAACCCUCGUUCUAUGUUGCCAGCACGUGAUGGUGGGGACUCAUAGGAGACUGCCGGGGUCAACUCGGAGGAAGGUGGGGAUGACGUCAAAUCAUCAUGCCCCUUAUGUCUUGGGCUUCACGCAUGCUACAAUGGCCGGUACAAAGGGCUGCGAAACCGCGAGGUGGAGCGAAUCCCAAAAAACCGGUCUCAGUUCGGAUUGGGGUCUGCAACUCGACCCCAUGAAGUCGGAGUCGCUAGUAAUCGCAGAUCAGCAACGCUGCGGUGAAUACGUUCCCGGGCCUUGUACACACCGCCCGUCAAGUCACGAAAGUCGGUAACACCCGAAGC